UGUUGCCUAGACUGGCCCCAAACUCCUGGCCUCAAACUAUCCUUCCACCACGGCCUCCCAAAAUGCUGGGAUUACAGGUAUGAGCCAUGAUACCUGGCCAUAAUCUUUAUAUAAAUGGUUGGAUAAUGGCUCACUUUCUCCUAUUCCUAUUAAAGGCCACAUAACUGUACCCAAAUUGUAAGAGGAAAGCAUAGAUGGAAUUUAAGGAGUACUUUUCCAAGCUAAUGGGGUGUCUAAUCUUUUGACUUUGCUGGGCCACACUGGAAGAAGAAGAAUUGUCUUGGGCUGUACAUAAAAUACACUAAUAAUAGCUGAUAAGCUAAAAAAAAAAAAAUCACAAAAACAUUUCAUAAUGUUUUAAGAAAGUUUACAAAUUUGUAUUGGGCCAUGUUCAAAGCCAUCCUGGGCCACAUUUGGGAUGAAGGAUGGACAAGCUUUCUUUUAAAUGUAUUAAAUUAAUCUUUAAAUAUUUUUAAUUAUAUAAGUAUUGCAUAAAUAUGUUUUUGUUGUAAAAAUGAUGCCCAUCACUUUUUAGUACAAAGCUAAAGUUCUGUCCUUUAAGACAUUUCUUUUCACUUUCACAUCAUAUUUCCCAGAGUGAAUUAUUUUUCAAUGAUCAGAGCCGUAGUUUAGGCUGCUGCUUCUGGAAACACAGAAGCUUGCCAUAGAGAUCUUCAAGGGAAGGUUUUAAUUUUAUAAUAUGUAUGUGUUUUAAAACAUUUUUAAAAUGUAUUAUAAUUCAGUUUCUUUCAAAAACAAAGCAAACUUAACUGUUAGUCUUAGGUCUUUUCAUGAUAGUACAUAUAAAUCCGUCUUAUUCUUUACUGAGUGAAAAUUCAUAGUUUAGCAUAGAAUACAUUCAUUGUAUUAAAACCAUUUAUUGAGAGCUUCAUUUGCCUUCAUAUUAGUUCUAGGGGUGAAACUGCACGCAACAGAUAAAGGGCAGCUUCUCAUAUUGCUUACAUUCUGGUGGAGGGACAUAAAUAAAUGAAAAAAUAGAAGGUAGCUUUAAGCUGGCUAAUAAAAAUAAAGAUCAACUUUAGAUUGAGUGGUCGUGGAAGGCCUCUCUAAGGAGAGGUGACUGUUAAGUUGAUAACAGAAUUAAAAGAAGUAGUAAUUCACACAAAGUAGCGGAAGAGACUCUACACAGAGGGAGCAUACAGGGCAAAGGCCCUUUAUUUGGGCACCAACAUAGUGUGUUGGGAGACCAGGAAGAAGGCAAAGGUGGUGGAGGGUUAGAAAGUGAGGAUAUGAGAUAAAAUUGGAGUUAAUGAGCCGGGGCCAGGUUUCUUGCUCCUGGUAGGACAGAGUAAACAUUUGGAUUAUUUUUGAUGCCCUGGGAAGUGACUGAGGGAUUUUAAGCUGGGGAAGUGAUGUGAGCUUGAUUGCUGAACAAAGAGACACACACAAGAAGUUGUUUCUGUUUUUGAAAUUUUGAAUAGUGCUUCAGUGAACCUUGUGUGUGUCUCUUUGUUCUUAGGUGUGAAUGUUUCUCUAGAAUAGGUAGAUACAUAGCAGUGAAAGCACCGGCUUCUAAAAUACGCACAUUUAAGAUUUUUAAUAGAUACUGAUGAAUGGCCAUUCCAGACAACUGAACCUUUAGCUUUCAUAUAGUAGUGUAGGAAAAUACCUGUUUUUCCAAGCCCAACUGGCACAUUUUAACUCUUGCCAAUCAGGAUCUCACUUUUAUUUUGGUUUUUAAACUGUAUCUUUAAUGUUGUUUAUAUAUUUUUAGUGUGUGUUGUCCUGUUCAUUAUUCUUAUUGUUUUCAAAAUGAAGUAUUUUCCAAUGAUCAUAGCCAUAGUUUAUUUAACCUGUACCUUCAGGAGACUUUGGAACUUAAUAUAGAUAUCCUGAAGAGAAGGUUUAUUUUUAUAAUGGAAUCAUGACAAUAAUGUGGGCCAUUAUUUUGCUUGCUAUAGGAGACUUGCAGGAAAUGAUGAUGAUGAUGAUGAUCAAGGUUUCAUCCAAAACUUUAUAGUUUACUGAGGGAUACAAGAUAAAUUAUUAAAUCUCUCUGAGCCUUUGCUUCCUUAUUCAUAAAAUGGAGAUAACAAACGCACAUCUCUCUGAAUUGUUCCAGCGAUUAAAUUUAAGGCACCCUGAAUACAGAGUCUCAACAAAUGUGGAUUUCCCUUUUCCAGCAAGGCUUGAUGUGCAAUUCAAGCUUCUGCACACCUUAAAACAAAUGGGCCUUUCUGAGGCUUUCACCAGCUGUGAAUGAAAGGGGCAAGAAAAUUGGCACUGAUUUUAAGAUAGCUGUAGGGAGCACAAGGCACAGGGGAAGACCAGGUGAUUGAAAGGGUCACUUUGGUAAAGGAGCUUGAUGCCUUUCAGUUUUCCCUCUCUCAGCAGCUAUCAAUAAUGUGUGAGUUAGAACAGACCCUCCAAAUAGCUCAUUUUCUCUUGUUACUGCUAAGCAGACUUGGCACCCGAAGGGCUUUUAAUUAUCUUCCUUUCUUGCUACCCAGAGUUGUUUUUCUGAUUGCUUGCUUCAAACAUAUAUAUUAUUUUAUUGUUUAGUCUUCUUACAGAUUUUUGGGUAAAAAUUGAGAAUAAACAAAAAUAUCUUUUUUCCUAGAGUCUGUAAUCCCUAGAUAGUGAAUUUUGAAGGCAAUUGUCAACAAAAUAAAGCUAAAAGCAAUAUUUUAAAGCAAUAGUGAUCAAUACUUUGUAACAUUAUGGGCUUAGCUGCUUUCUACAAAUUGAAUAAUUGUUUCCUUUGGAUUAAUGGUAUAGUAGGGAAAGUUUAUUUUUAAAUUGCUUUGAAAUGACUUUCCCAGUUUUAGAAAUGUAUACAUUAGUGCAGUUGAUAUGGAAAAAAAAGUGAAUUCUAUCUUCAAAUGUCUGGAAACUCACCCUGCUUUAAUGAGGAGAGAUAUGGUAGAGUUCUCAGAAUGUAUCUUAAUAUUAGAAUCAACCUUACCUUUAACCCUGAUGACCAAAUUGUGUUUAAUUUUUAGGUUCAAAUAGAAAUAUGACAUCAUCAUCCUUCUUGUAGAUUAAUUUAGAAAGGUUUGUUUUUCAAAGCAGAGGACAUCUUAUGAACCCCUGAUAUGUUUGUUCUGAAAAACAAAAAACAAAACAAAACAACUAUUCAACCUUAGAAGUAACCACCAAACAUUAUUGAGUGCCCACUAUGCACGAGGCCCCGUGUUUAAUGUUGCAGGAGCUACAAAAUAAGAUUUGAUUCUUUUUUUUUUUUUUUUUUU